rnacentral:rRNA from 1 species
UUAAGCAUAUCAAUAAGCGGAGGAAAAGAAACCAACAGGGAUUGCCCUAGUAACGGCGAGUGAAGCGGCAACAGCUCAAAUUUGAAAUCUGGCGCAAGCCCGAGUUGUAAUUUGUAGAGGAUGCUUCUAGGUAGCGACCGGUCUAAGUUUCUUGGAACAGGACGUCAUAGAGGGUGAGAAUCCCGUAUGUGACCGGCCCGCACCUUCUACGUAGCUCCUUCGACGAGUCGAGUUGUUUGGGAAUGCAGCUCUAAAUGGGAGGUAAAUUUCUUCUAAAGCUAAAUACCGGCCAGAGACCGAUAGCGCACAAGUAGAGUGAUCGAAAGAUGAAAAGCACUUUGGAAAGAGAGUUAAAAAGCACGUGAAAUUGUUGAAAGGGAAGCGCUUACAACCAGACUUCUGGGCGGUGUUCCGCCGGUCUUCUGACCGGUCUACUCGCCGUCCCGAGGCCAACAUCAUCUGGGACCGCUGGAUAAGACCUUAGGAAUGUAGCUUCCCUCGGGAAGUGUUAUAGCCUCUGGUGAUGCAGCGCGUCUCGGGUGAGGUCCGCGCUUCGGCAAGGAUGUUGGCGUAAUGGUUGUCAGCGGCCCGUCUUGAAACACGGACCAAGGAGUCUAACAUCUAUGCGAGUGUUCGGGUGUCAAACCCCUACGCGUAAUGAAAGUGAACGGAGGUGGGAAGGGUAACCUGCACCAUCGACCGAUCCUGAUGUCCUCGGAUGGAUUUGAGUAAGAGCAUAGCUGUUGGGACCCGAAAGAUGGUGAACUAUGCCUGAAUAGGGUGAAGCCAGAGGAAACUCUGGUGGAGGCUCGCAGCGGUUCUGACGUGCAAAUCGAUCGUCAAAUUUGGGUAUAGGGGCGAAAGACUAAUCGAACCAU